AACGAACACUGGCGGCGUGCUUAACACAUGCAAGUCGAACGCGAAAACCCGGGCAACUGGGUGAGUAGAGUGGCGCACGGGUGAGUAAUACGUGAGUAACCUACCUUCGAGUGGGGAAUAACUCCUCGAAAGGGGAGCUAAUACCGCAUAAGACCACGAUCUCCUCGGGGGUUGAGGUCAAAGGUAGCCUCAAUCAACAGAGUGUUUGGGACGGCCUUUCGUCAUCGGAGGGUGGUCCUCAACACUUUGGACGAUGAAGCUGCUGCUUGAAGACGGGCUCACGGCCCAUCAGCUAGUUGGUGAGGUAACGGCCCACCAAGGCUACGACGGGUAGCUGGUCUGAGAGGACGACCAGCCACACGGGAAUUGAGAUACGGUCCCGACUCCUACGGGAGGCAGCAGUGGGGAAUCUUGGGCAAUGGGGGAAACCCUGACCCAGCGACGCCGCGUGGGGGACGAAGGCCCUCGGGUUGUAAACCCCUGUUAGGUGGGACGAAUGCCCUAUUGCAAAUAGCGGUAGGGUUUGACGGUACCACCAGAGAAAGCCCCGGCUAACUCCGUGCCAGCAGCCGCGGUAAUACGGAGGGGGCGAGUGUUGUUCGGAAUUACUGGGCGUAAAGGGCGCGCAGGCGGCUUGCAAGUCGAGUGUGAAAUCCCUUGCUUAACUAAGGAAUGGCGCUCGAAACUACCUCGCUGGAGGGCGGGAGAGGGAAGUGGAACUCUCGGUGUAGGGGUGAAAUCUGUAGAUAUCGAGA
rnacentral:rRNA from 1 species